rnacentral:rRNA from 1 species
GACGAACGCUGGCGGCGUGCUUAACACAUGCAAGUCGAACGGUGAAGCGCCUUCCUUUUUGGUGGGUGUGGAUGAGUGGCGAACGGGUGAGUAACACGUGAGUAACCUGCCCCCUUCUUCUGGAUAACCGCAUGAAAGUGUGGCUAAUACGGGAUAUUCUGGGUCUGUCGCAUGAUGAGUCUGGGAAAGAUAUUGUUUCGGUGGGGGAUGGGCUCGCGGCCUAUCAGCUUGUUGGUGGGGUGAUGGCCUACCAAGGCGGUGACGGGUAGCCGGCCUGAGAGGGUGGACGGUCACACUGGGACUGAGACACGGCCCAGACUCCUACGGGAGGCAGCAGUGGGGAAUAGUGCACAAUGGGCGCAAGCCUGAUGCAGCGACGCCGCGUGAGGGAUGGAGGCCUUCGGGUUGUGAACCUCUUUCGCCAGUGAAGCAGGCCUGCCUCGUUUGUGGGUGGGUUGACGGUAGCUGGAUAAGAAGCGCCGGCUAACUACGUG